GAUACCCCACUAUGCUCAGCCGUAAACCAAGGCGAUACAAACACAAUACCGCCCGCCAGAGAACUACAAGUGAAAAACUCAAAACUCCAAGGACUUGGCGGUGCUCCAUAUCAACCUAGAGGAGCCUGUCCUAUAAUCGACAAUCCACGCUCUACCCCACCAUCUCUUGCCCCCAGCCUAUAUACCGCCGUCGAAAGCCUACCUUAUGAAAGAGAUACAGUAAGCAGAAUAGUUAUCAACUAGUACGUCAGGUCAAGGUGUAGCACAUGAGAUGGAAGAGAUGGGCUACAUUCUCUACCACAGAGAACACGAACAGUUUAAUGAAACUUAGACUAAAAGGCGGAUUUAGAAGUAAGACAAACAAGAAAUUUUGCCUUAAAUCAGCUCUGGAGCGCGCACACACCGCC
rnacentral:rRNA from 1 species